rnacentral:rRNA from 1 species
CUUGGUGGCACAAGCGAAGAGGUCACACCUGUUCCCAUCCCGAACACAGCAGUUAAGCUCUUCUGCGCUGAUGAUAGCAGUAAUGCAAAAGUAGGCCGCCGCCAGGA